ensembl:snRNA U2 U2 spliceosomal RNA
AAAUAUUCGGCAAAUGAUCAAAAAAAUCUGUUCUUAUCAGUUUAAUUUCACAAACGUCCCCUUGUAAUGGGACCAUAUAUUAAAUUGAUUUUUUUGAACUGGGAGAUGGAAAAGGGGCUUGCCCCGUCCACUCCAAAUAUCGACCUGGUAUUGCAGUACCUCCAGGACCGGUGCACCCUCU